rnacentral:tRNA from 1 species
AGCCUGUUCGUCCAUCCGGUCAGGACGCCGUAGCACUUCGGAAAGGCGGGUUCGAUUCCCGCACAGGCUUCCA